CAUGCGCGAUGCGGGAAAUUGGAAACAUCAUAACAAAAAUGGCGAACACCCGAUCUAAGUGGAAGGGUUCUGAAUCAGUUUUAACCGAGAGCAUGAAGAAACGAAUAAUCGAGAACGUGAUUUUAACUUCACAAAGACGAACACGUAUCUUAGAGACAGAGCAAGCAGAUGGCAUCAGUUAAAAAAGACCGAAGGGAUUAAAACAGACCCUCCUUUGGCCAAGCUAAUGCCUUGAACAGUUUUGAAAGCAAGCCUGAGAUCUAGAGCGUACGUAGAUCUGGUCAUAAAGAAACUGCAUGAAGCCAAUGAAUUCGAAGAUGACCACAGGCGACAUGGAGUCCAGCCACUACGGACGACACGAUUACUAGUCGCACUUAGAUAUCACAGGAUUUAUAACACAAAAGUUCUUGGAGGACAAUAGUGCCGUACAAGAUGGAAAGGACAUACCAACACAUCCAGGGACUCGUCAAUCUGAUAGUGGCCAACAGAAUAAUGGAUAGAACUGGAAUAUCUAGCCAAAACCCUUGCAUCAAAUAGAUCCCAGAAGAUUCAAACUCCUAGCCCAUGCUCCUCCACCAUCUACUGCCCAAAUGGUAGAGGAGAAGAAAUCCCAAUUAAGAUGAAUGGGAAUAAUUGACAUUUUGACACUAAUCACGUUCCAGAGACUAUUACUUUUGAAUAUCUGUCCUUACGUUUAGUAGCUGACCUGGUCCGAAGGACCAAGGUGAGUAUGCCAUACUGAGGCGUCCGGCAUUCGUCUGUCAACAUUGUGAACACAAUAUUUGAAUAACUUGAGUAAAUGUCAGAAUAUACCAAAUUUGAUAAAACUUUAUACGCAGCCAUAUAUCGACAAGAUCUCAGACAACUUCAAAAAUAGAAAUUAUUGGACAGU